rnacentral:rRNA from 1 species
AGACUGGAACAACUUACCGAAAGGUGAGCUAAUGCCGGAUGAGUUAUAUAAGUGCAUGUUUAUAUAGGAAAAGUUGGGGAGACCUGACGCUGAAAGAUGGACUCGCGUCCCAUUAGCUAGUUGGUAGGGUAAUGGCCUACCAAGGCGACGAUGGGUAGCCGGCCUGAGAGGGUGGCCGGCCACACUGGGACUGAGACACGGCCCAGACUCCUACGGGAGGCAGCAGUGGGGAAUUUUGCGCAAUGCUCGUAAGAGUGACGCAGCGACGCCGCGUGAAUGACGAAGGCCUUCGGGUCGUAAAGUUCUUUCGACAGGGAAGAAAAUGCCUAUAAGUAACUGUGUAUGUAUUGACGGUACCUGUAUAAGCAGCCCCGGCUAACUCCGUGCCAGCAGCCGCGGUAAUACGGAGGGGGCGAGCGUUGUUCGGAGUGACUGGGCGUAAAGAGCACGUAGGCGGUGUUGUAAGUCAUUAGUCAAAGACUAGAGCUCAACUUUAGUAAGGCUAGUGAUACUAUAAUACUAGAGUAUCAGAGAGGAUUGCAGAAUUCCUGGUGUAGCGGUGAAAUGCGUAGAUAUCAGGAGGAAUACCGUUAGCGAANGCGGCAAUCUGGCUGGAAACUGGCGCUGAGGUGCGAAAGCNUGNGUAGCAAACAGGAUUAGAUACCCUGGUAGUCCACGCUGUAAACGAUGGAUGCUAGGUGUGUGAAAUGCGUAGAUAUACGGAGGAACACCAGUGGCGAAGGCGGAUUGCUGGACAGUAACUGACGCUGAGGCGCGAAAGCGUGGGGAGCAACAGGAUUAGAUACCCUGGUAGUCCACGCCGUAAACGAUGGAUACUAGGUGU